rnacentral:rRNA from 1 species
UACGUAGGGGGCGAGCGUUUUCCGGAAUCAUUGGGCGUAAAGCGCGUGUAGGCGGCCAUCCAAGUCCGAUGUGAAAGCUCGGGGCUCAACCCCGAGUCUGCAUUGGAAACUGGUUGGCUUGAGUCCGGAAGAGGAGACUGGAAUUCCUGGUGUAGCGGUGAAAUGCGCAGAUAUCAGGAAGAACACCGGUGGCGAAGGCGGGUCUCUGGGACGGUACUGACGCUGAGACGCGAAAGCGUGGGGAGCAAACAGG